rnacentral:tRNA from 1 species
GGGGCGGUAGCUCAGCUGGUCAGAGCAGCGCUUAUAAUCCGUCGGUCAUGGGUUCAAGUCCCAUCCGCCCUAC